AAUUCUGUAUGUUAGGCUAAGUAAAGACGGUCACUCACUCCUCGCCAAUGGAACUCAGUGCAUGACCAGAGAGACUCAGCACGAGAUGCAACCUAUGAAAACAAUGACAGGGACAGGCCUCUAUUCGCUUGCUUGCCUUCUCAUGAUCAGCAGUGUCCGCUCUACCUGUGUUCCUUUGGAGUGUCUGAGGUGUGACAUAAUCCCCUCACCUGAAGUGUCUGGGAAUCACAAAGCAGAUGAGGCCACCUGUGAACACCUGUGCUCUAACACUACCCAAUGUCUCAAUACCACUGAUGUAGGGAAUUGCAUAAAAGAUUUUGAAGUGUUUCUGAACACCAGUAAUGGAUUUGAAGUGGAGGAGGGUGAUGACCUCACAAUGGAGUGUGCCCACGACCUACCGGUGAGAGAUCAUGACCUGCUGGUGUUUGUCUGGCUGAAGGAUGGGCUUCCCCUGGAGGGCGAGAACAAUAGCACGGUGACCUUGGAGAGGAUAGGCAUAGAUACCCCUGCCGAGGGGAUAUACACCUGCACCAUCCAGAGUCCCUGUGGCAACUUCACCUCAGAUCCAGAAGAACUUGAAUUUAAAGACCUGACAGUGGUGAUCAUUGUGAUCUGUGGUGUGUCUGCUGUGGUGCUGGUCCUGUCCCUGGGCAUGGGCAUCAAGAUCAUGCUGAAGAAGGACUUUGCGAAGACCAAGACCAGGAUGCAGCAUAAUACUCAGAACAUACGGAACACCGCCAACACAACAGAGUAG
rnacentral:lncRNA from 1 species